CGCCAUGGGUGAUGAGAUUGACAAUUUUACAGUUAUCCCUGUCUGAUAAACUUGAUGAUGAAAUUGUAUAGUCUGACAUGUUC